rnacentral:rRNA from 1 species
CCUACGGGAGACAGCAGUGAGGAAUAUUGGUCAAUGGACGAGAGUCUGAACCAGCCAAGUAGCGUGAAGGAUGACUGCCCUAUGGGUUGUAAACUUCUUUUAUAAAGGAAUAAAACGAGGCACGUGUGCCUUUUUGCAUGUACUUUAUGAAUAAGGAUCGGCUAACUCCGUGCCAGCAGCCGCGGUAAUACGGAGGAUCCGAGCGUUAUCCGGAUUUAUUGGGUUUAAAGGGAGCGUAGAUGGGUUGUUAAGUCAGUUGUGAAAGUUUGCGGCUCAACCGUAAAAUUGCAAUUGAUACUGGCAGUCGUGAGUACAGUUGAGGUAGGCGGAAUGCGUGGUGUAGCGGUGAAAUGCUUAGAUAUCACGAAGAACCCCGAUUGCGAAGGCAGCUUACUAAACUGUGACUGACAUUGAUGCUCGAAAGUGUGGGUAUCAAACAGGAUUAGAUACCCUUGUAGUC